GUAGUUAGCCCAGUGGUAGAGCACAUGCUUAACUUGCAUGAGGUCCUGGGUUCAAUCCCCAGUACG
rnacentral:tRNA from 1 species